UUUUAAUUUUAGAGUGAAUGUUCCAGAAAAUGACAGAGGUUUCAGCUGGGGAAAAAAGAAUCUGAAUUUGUAUUUUGUAGAGCAGAUGUUUCAUCCUAAAUUUUCUUCAGAAUAUUCUUAUAAAUGCCUACUCAAAAUCUGGAAAAUUGUCAGGUGGUAGUUUCCUGAUGUCACCAGCAGGUGCAAGUUUUUGUGAUGCCUUUAUCUUUUGAGAAGCACAGGAGAAUGGAAUGUGACUGACCAACCAUGUCCAAAACUAAACAAAACCCAAACCUACAGCUAAACCAAUGCAUUAGGGGCCUAUAUGUCUCCAAAAACAGCUUAUCAAUGUUUCCAGAAACUGCCUUUUUAACUUGUUCUUCAGUAUGAAAAUUAAGUCUUCUCCCUCUUCCUUAACACAAAACUGAACAUUGAUACAGUUCAUAUUGAGAGGUUUUAAACUCUAGCUCAAUAACGAGUCGAAGGAGUUAUGAAGAGAAGCCUUGUCAAUGCGUGGAUCACGACUUGCUGACACCUGCACCACAGUGUUCCUGCUGGAGGGAAGAAAUGUGGUGAAAUGUGAAGAUCUGGGAAUUGAAGUGGCAGAUUAAACGUGCCCCAACCAAGCCAAAGGCUUCUGUUCUUGUUCAGUGUAGGGCCUGAUCUCUCUCCUCAGAUAUACCCUGCUGUACUGCAAAACUGGAUUUGAGAAAGUUUAAACAGUAGAAUGUCGUUGUAACUGCAUGUGUUUGUGUGAGGAAUGCAUUGCCUGGAAACUGUCUGUGUAUACGUCCGUAGGACCCAAGGCUGGUUUUCACCACCUGAAACAGGGUACUGAACAUUUCUGAAUGAGCAUAUCCUUCUAACGCAGAAGAGAAAAAUAAUUUGAGCAUCCAUCUUUUCAUUAGUCUGAAACUCAAGUCCGAAACUUGGCCUUCAGCUACUUCUGCUCCAAAAACACCUGYRCACAACCCUCCAACCCUGCUUGUCUCCCUGUCGACCCCUUCCCACCACCAGCUCUUCUGCAGUGACCUCCUCCGACCGUGGGUGCAUUGRUUGGAUCAGGCACUCCUCCUCCCUGGUGUUGUAAACUGUAGGGCUGCCGAGGGCUGCAUCGCUGRUGUAACUUAGGAGCUAAUGGCUGAGAGCUCAAAGUCCACAAUAAAUUAUAGACCUUUUGAAAAAAGCAAGCCUCGUUUCCUUCACUAYGUUUUUGCAAGUGGCUGCAAGACAUCCAACUAACAUAGCAGAGACCAAACUUAGCUUUGGGCUGGAGCAUUAGCUUUGUCCAGRCAUUCCCWUCCUUUCUGCCUGCUGCAUUUUUCUUCURUGUAACCUCCUAMCAAGAAACAAUGGCAGAAACUAACAGCAGAAUCAAUAACAACUUCACAUGUUUUCAUCACUCCACAGMUGGCUAAGACGAAGGGGAUGUUCUGCCACCUUCCAGAGUAUAGGACAACACUGCAGGAGUUCCAUUGCUCAGGCAUAAGGCUGAGGACUGAGCACUGAUCACUUUAUAAUUACAGAACUAACCUCCCAUAGGGGAUUGAUGUAGGGUAACAGAAUUUAAG